GUAAGUAAAAGUCGUAACAAGGUUUCCGUAGGUGAACCUGCGGAAGGAUCAUUAUUGUAUAACCGAGGUGCGAGGGCUGUCGCUGACCCGAAAGGUCGUGCACGCCCGAGUGCCCUCACACACAUCCAUCUCACCCCUAUGUGCACCACCGCGUGGGUCCCCCUUUGGCUUGUUCGGAGGGGGGCUUACGUUUUCACACAAACUUUGUAUGCAGUGUAGAAUGUAUUUUUUGUUUAUGCGAUCACGCAAUCAAUACAACUUUCAACAACGGAUCUCUUGGCUCUC
rnacentral:misc_RNA from 1 species